rnacentral:lncRNA from 1 species
AGCUAACAGCUUGGACAAGAAACCAAGAAAUCUAACCAGCAUAGCUAGCUAAGUGGCUAACCACCUGUCGUCACACUUUAUUAUAGCUAGCUAGCUAAUGUAAGUGUAGAUUUGGUGCAGAAAGCCAGGUUAAGUUGUUGGGAACAUGAAAAUGUAUCCAAACAACAGUCAACCUUCGCUAGUGCUCAUAAACAUAUGUAUCUUGGGAAUUUAAUUCAAUUGACCCCAAACUUGCCUAUUUGAUGACACUGAAAUUGUCCCACAGGAACUGAAUGAAGCCUUGGAAGGACACUCUGACAAUGCAGAAUGGUUCUGCCAACGAGCCUACGCCCAACUUCAACUGAAAAACUACAGCUGAGCUGUCAACAAUGCCAAGAAAUCCCAGCAGCUCAACCCCAGCCUUCUUCUUGCCUUCAUGAGAAUGGGAAUGGCAGAGUAGCACCUGAACCACUUUGAGGUGUCACAUGCUGCCUUCACGAAGGGACACAGCCUGGAUGGUUCAGAUGACACUUUCCGAACGU